CUGCUGCCUCCCGUAGGAGUCUGGACCGUGUCUCAGCUCCAGUGUGGGGGGCCUUCCUCUCAGAACCCCUACGCAUCGUCGCCACGGUGGGCCGUUACCCCGCCGUCAAGCUAAUGCGCCGCAUGCCCAGCCGCCACCGGAUUCCUCCUUUCGCCCGGUCCGGAUGCCCGGUCCGGGCGGCAUGGGGUAUUAGGCCGGGUUUCCCCGGGUUAUCCCCCUGUGGCGGGCAGGUUCCAUACGUGUUACUCACCCGUGCGCCGGUCGCCGGCAGGUGCA
rnacentral:rRNA from 1 species